UGACAUACCGAUCGCGGUUAGUGGAGACACUUUCCCUUCAGUUCGGCUGGAUCGGAUACAGGUGCUGCAUGGCUGUCGUCAGCUCGUGUCGUGAGAUGUUGGGUUAAGUCCCGCAACGAGCGCAACCCUCACCUUUAGUUGCCAUCAUUUAGUUGGGCACUCUAGAGGAACUGCCGGUGACAAGCCGGAGGAAGGUGGGGAUGACGUCAAGUCCUCAUGGCCCUUACGAACUGGGCUACACACGUGCUACAAUGGGGAGUACAAAGAGUCGCAAGCUGGUGACAGCAAGCUAAUCUCAAAAAGCUCCUCUCAGUUCGGAUUGUAGUCUGCAACUCGACUACAUGAAGUUGGAAUCGCUAGUAAUCGCAAAUCAGCAACGUUGCGGUGAAUACGUUCUCGGGUCUUGUACACACCGCCCGUCACACCACGAGAGUUGGUUGCACCUGAAGUAGCAGGCCUAACCGUAAGGAAGGAUGUUCCUAAGGUGUGAUUAGCGAUUGGGGUGAAGUCGUAACAAGGUAACCUUAAUUAAAAA
rnacentral:rRNA from 1 species